UACGGGGGGUGCGAGCGUUGUCCGGAAUCACUGGGCGUAAAGGGCGCGUAGGUGGCCUGAUAAGGGUGUGGUGAAAGUCCGGGGCUCAACCCCGGAUCUGCCGUGCCGACUGUUGGGCUGGAGUACUGUAGGGGCAGGCGGAAUUCCGGGUGUAGCGGUGGAAUGCGUAGAGAUCCGGAGGAAGACCGGUGGCGAAGGCGGCCUUCUGGACCAGCACUGACACUCAAGCACGAAAGCGUGGGGAGCAAACAGG
rnacentral:rRNA from 1 species